rnacentral:rRNA from 1 species
CCUACGGGAGGCAGCAGUGAGGAAUAUUGGUCAAUGGACGAGAGUCUGAACCAGCCAAGUAGCGUGAAGGAUGACUGCCCUAUGGGUUGUAAACUUCUUUUAUAUGGGAAUAAAACGUUCCACGUGUGUGAUUUUGUAUGUACCAUAUGAAUAAGGAUCGGCUAACUCCGUGCCAGCAGCCGCGGUAAUACGGAGGAUCCGAGCGUUAUCCGGAUUUAUUGGGGUUAAAGGGAGCGUAGGUGGAUUGUUAAGUCAGUUGUGAAAGUUUGCGGCUCAACCGUAAAAUUGCAGUUGAAACUGGCAGUCUUGAGUACAGUAGAGGUGGGCGGAAUUCGUGGUGUAGCGGUGAAAUGCUUAGAUAUCACGAAGAACUCCGAUUGCGAAGGCAGUUCACUGGACUGCAACUGACACUGAGGCUCGAAAGUGUGGGUAUCAAACAGGAUUAGAUACCCUGGUAGUC